rnacentral:rRNA from 1 species
CUCGUAGGUGGUUCGUCACGUCGGAUGUGAAACUCUGGGGCUUAACCCCUGACCUGCAUUCGAUACGGGCGAGCUUGAGUAUGGUAGGGGAGUCUGGAAUUCCUGGUGUAGCGGUGGAAUGCGCAGAUAUCAGGAGGAACACCAAUGGCGAAGGCAGGACUCUGGGCCAUUACUGACACUGAGGAGCGAAAGCGUGGGGAGCGAACA